rnacentral:rRNA from 1 species
CCUACGGGAGGCAGCAGUGAGGAAUAUUGGUCAAUGGACGCAAGUCUGAACCAGCCAUGCCGCGUGCAGGAAGACGGCUCUAUGAGUUGUAAACUGCUUUUGUACGAGGGUAAACGCAGAUACGCGUCUCUGCCUGAAAGUAUCGCACGAAUAAGGAUCGGCUAACUCCGUGCCAGCAGCCGCGGUAAUACGGAGGGUUCAAGCGUUAUCCGGAGUUAUUGGGGUUAAAGGGUGCGUAGGCGGUCGAAUAAGUUAGAUGUGAAAUCCCGAGGCUCAACCUCGGAAUUGCCUCUGAUACUGUUCGGCUAGAGAGUAGAUGCGGUAGGCGGAAUGUAUGGUGUAGCGGUGAAAUGCUUAGAGAUCAUACAGAACACCGAUUGCGAAGGCAGCUUACCAAGCUACUUCUGACGUUGAGGCACGAAAGCGUGGGGAGCGAACAGGAUUAGAUACCCUUGUAGUC